GUCAUUUAGAAAACUGUUCCGUACCUGAGCAAUCUGUGAAAGUUUUCUUAAAAGGACCAGAUGCUGAAAGCCACAGUACUCUUUAGAAAGCUCACUCACAGGGCCAGUGAGAUGGCUUAGCAGUCUUGAAAAUAUGACAUUGGACGCGAGUUAUGAAUCACAUCCUGCUUCAACAAACCUUUGACGAGAUGAGACGUUGUAGAAAACAGCUUCACCAUGUGAGGGCCUAAUGUGCAGCUUGCUGUCAAUCAUUCCCGGAGACCAGAGCCAUGUGCCUUCCAGCAAAGCUUCUAUCUUUUCAAGAGCUCUGAGCUACUCUCGCUCUGCAUCCACUCCUGGGAUACCUGCUAGCCCUCAGGUCGACACCCUCAACUUCUGGGGCCCCAGGAGUGUGGGAUUCAGAGAGGCCAGUUCACUGAAGACCCAGCUCCACUGCCGGGAUGCCUUGCCUUUCUGAGGACAUGGUCCCUGUCUAAUGUCUCGUGGAACUGGUGCUUAUGACCCUGCCAAGCAUUCUAGAAGCCCACAGCCACGGGACAGGACUCUAGUGGAAAAGCAGUGCCCUGCAUGUUUGCUUGUCUGUCUGUCUUUGAGACAGGGUCUCCUGUCACCCAGGCUGGUCUUGAAUUCACUAUGCAGCUCUGAAUGAUCUUGAUCCUCCUGCCUCAGCCUCCCGAGUGUUGGGAUGGCUGGUGUGUUUUCUAAAGCAAGAAUAUUUCUCUACAGACUCGAGCAUACAUUCAGAGCGUGAGACUGGAUCCUGAUUGCAUCCUGUUAUUAGGCCUGUAGACCUCACCCUGUUUGUGCCUGCCCAUCAUUGCCCAGCCGCCCCUCUCUGGCUCCUCUGACAGGAAGUUGCUCUCGAGUCUUUAUAUUCAGUCUUUCACGAAGCACAUGUCAGCUGCUUCGCAAAAUGUCAAAGAUCCCCUUGAAAAUAAAUCGAUUUUUAUUUUA